rnacentral:tRNA from 1 species
UCCUGUGUGGCUCAGUUGAUAGAGCAUGGUGCUAGCAACGCCAGGGCUGUAGGUUCAAUUCCCACGGGGG